GGAAGUUCUCCUGCCAGGGAUUGAAUCUGCAGCGACCCAUGCCACACCUGCAGCAACGCCUGAUCCUUUGACCCACUGCACCAGGCCAGGGAUGGAACCUGCACCUCCGCGGAGACCUGAGCCGCUGCAGUCAGAUUCUUAACCCACUGUGCCGAGGGUGGGAGUUCCAGUGUUGGAAUAUUUGAAAGACAAAUUUUUAAAUUAAUUUAUAAACUUUUAAUGUAUGCUUUAUAUUAUACAGUUUUGAGAUUUAUUUAUUUACUUAUUUAUUUAGAAGAUCUAAUAGGGUUUUUUGGUGGUUUGUGAAUUGGGCAGCAUCCCAUCUAGCACAGGAGCUAAUUUAAAAUUACCAUUAACUAUCAUUCUUCUGAGGAAGAGUUAAUAGAAUAAAACUGACCUCAUUUGUUAGUGAGGUUCACAAUAGGCCUUCACUGUUAACUGAUGACUCCACAUUUCCAGGCAUCCUUUAUUGGAGCUAAGUAUUAGCCCUCCAUUGGAUCUAAUUAGAUUUUUUUAUUUAUGCAUUUGUUGACAUUUAAUUAUUUGUGGUUUCUAACGUGUUAAAAUAACUUUUUAAAACAAGUAAUAAUGACAUUCCUUUAGAGAUAAAGAGUUUACCCAAGAUACACACUUUCAUCCUUUUUUAACUUGAAAUCACUGAGGAUUUAAAAGAAUAAUGAGGAGUUCCCAUUGUGGCUCACCAGGGAUCAGACCCACAAGCUCUCAGAGACAACAUCGGGUCCUUAAUCUGCUGAGGCACAAUGGGAAAUCCUACAGUUUGUUUUUGAUCCAGGAUUCAAUCUAAGUUCAUACUUUGUACUUGAUUGUCUCUUUUAGUCUAGAAGAUCCUUCCCUGUACCCAAUGACUUUUUUCCCAGACAUGACUUUUUGUGGGUUUUUUUUUUUUUUUUUUUCUUUCGCUUUUUAGGGCUGCACCUGUGGCAUAUGGAAGUUCCCAGGCUAGGGGUCGAAUCAGAGCUACAGUUGCUGGCCUACACCACAGCCAUAGCAACGCCAGAUCUGAGCAACCUACACUAUAGCUCAUAGCAUCGCCAGAUCCUUAACCCACAACUCAAGGCCAGGAAUCAAACCCGCAACCCCAUGGUUCCUAGUCAGAUUCAUUUCCACUGAGCCACAACAGGAACUCCCCAGACAUGACUUUUUGAAGAAUCUAAGUCACUCAGCUCCUAUCCUUGAUCUGUCUAUGUCCUUGACUUGUUCCCUUUAUUCACUGUGUUUCCCUUGAACUGGAAGAAGUCCAUAGGUCUGAUUAACUUCAGGUUAAAUGCUUUUGAGAAGGAUAUUUCAUAGGUUAUCCUGUAGAUUUUAUAUCAUAUCACAUUAGAAGAUGACAUAAUACUAGAUCUUGUUAUUAAUGAUAAUCACUUGAUCAAGGUGGUUCUUGCCAGAUCUUUCCAUUAUAAUGGUCAUUUUUUUCCCCUUAGUAAUUACUUUCUUUAGGGUAAUAUUUUGGCAUCAUGAGAAUGUUUUUCUUUUUUCUGACAAGCCUUUUAUUCAAUGGCUUUUCUUGUUUGGCCAAGGUGUGCAGUAGCUUGAUGUGGGAUUUCAGCUCCCAGACCAGGCAUUGACAUUGACCCUGGGCCACAGUGGUGAAAGUGCCAAAUCCUAACCACUAGACCACCAGGGACUCCCAACUGAUGAGUCAUAACUGAAUCAUUUACUACAUGGAGGUGCCAAAUGGUGAUUUAAAAAUUACGAUUCUCUAAUUUUCUUUUACAUUUAGUUUCUAUUCAUCAUUUUAGAACGACUGUUUCCCCUCCUUUCUUUUUUCAAAAGCCCCUCCUUUUUUUUUCAGUAUCACUGUCUUCAACCUUCAACGUAUUAUAGUCAAAUACAGUCACGUUUUUUUCUGAUGUUUGUAGAGUGAGCCAGUGAAGCCACUGCAAGUUAGCCUCUGUAUCUUUUAGACAUGACCACAUUAGUGUUUGAGUUUUUCUUUGCUUCUGGUAAAACACAUCCCAGGCUUGCCUUGUACUCAUUCUGUUUCAGGCCUGGGGAAUAUCAGCUAUUUCUCCAAGGAGCCCUUUCUAUUCCUUUUUGGGGGGAUAAAAUUUGAACUCCUUUCGCUUCUAGGCCAUUUUUCAACAGGUAGAGCUAGAAAAUAAAAUUAUUAAAAGUUCAUGAGGAGUUCCUGCUGUGGCUCAGUGAGUUAAGAGGAUGUGGGUUUGAUCCCUGGCCUCAGUAGGUUAAGGAUCUGGUAUUGCAAAAAGCUGUGGUGUAGGUUGCAGAUUCGGCUCUGAUCCUGGGUUGCUGUGGCUGAGGCAUAGGCUGGCAACUGCAGCUCCCAUCUCCCCCAGCCCAGGAACUUCCAUAUGCCUCAGCUGUGGCCCUGAAAAGAAAAUGAAAAAAAGCAUGAAUUCAAAUUGAUGUGUACAGUUAAAAUUUAAGCUUUUUUAAAGUUUUAUAUUUGCUGCUCUUUUAUUGUAAAAUGAAAAUAUUGCUUCUGAGUAACAAUGUAUUUGCUUGUAUGUUUUAUUAUAUAGCUUAUGUUUUAGCACUACAAUACCAGUAUUACUAAUGGUAAAUAUACUGAAUAAAAUUUCA
rnacentral:lncRNA from 1 species